UGACGUUAAGACCUUAAGUCAUACAGAUUUCCAUGCAAAAGACCAUAAAAAGACAGCCUCUUUGAAGGCUGCACACAUUUACGUACAGUAUUUUUUUGUUAUACUAAAAACAUACUCUAUUUAAAUACAUAAAUCUGUUCAGUACGGGUGUAUGGAAUCUUGUUUGUACAGUGAAAAUAACAUCUGUGCAUCAGGGUAUGUUUGCAGGUUUUCUCUGGAGAAGAGGAAGCAGAGGUGUGAGCCGAGGCAUUUUUUCCACUCGUUGUAAUCAUGAGCUCACGGGCAGAGUCAGCACUCCAAACACACUCAGAUGACAUGAACAACUUCAGCUGCAGUACGUCCCACAAUACUCCGCAGCAAAUGUGAAAGCGACAGAAAUGCUGGAGGUUCUGCUUCAGAGUCCAGCUAACAGAGCUUGAAGAGGGUGCUGUUUAGCCGCGGGUUUCAGUAUACGGGCGGAUUGUCUGCGCUAUUAUGCCAGCCAUGAGAAUGGAAUAUGAUUAAUGUCGCCCCCAGAGGCCAUAAUGUCAUAAGGAGAAAUGAAAAGUCAAGGUGGUAUCCAGAGGAUUAAGUGAACUGGGUGGGACAGACCUCCACAAUCAGCUGCACGUCACUUAACCGUCUGCUUUCCAAGGUUUAAUAUGACGUCGGCCCACCCUUUGCAGCUAUAACAGCUUCAACUCUUCUGGGAAGGCUUUCCACAAGGUUUAGGAGUGUGUUUAUGGGAAUUUUUGACCAUUCUUCCAGAAGCGCAUUUGUGAGGUCAGACACUGAUGUUGGACGAGAAAGCCUGGCUCACAGUCUUCGCUCUAAUUCAUCCCAAAGGUGCUCUAUCGGGUUGAGGUCAGGACUCUGUGCAGGCCAGUCAAGUUCUUCCACACCAAACUCGCUCAUCCAUGUCUUUAUGGACCUUGCUUUGUGCACUGGUGCGCAGUCAUGUUGGAACAGGAAGGGGCCAUCCCCAAACUGUUCCCACAAAUUUGGGAGCAUGGAAUUGUCCAAAAUCUCUUGGUAUGCUGAAGCAUUCAGAGUUCCUUUCACUGGAACUAAGGGGCCAAGCCCAGCUCCUGAAAAACAACCCCACACCAUAAUCCCCCCUCCACCAAACUUCACAGUUGGCACAAUGCAGUCAGACAAGUACCGUUCUCCUGGCAACCGCCAAACCCAGACUCGUCCAUCAG